rnacentral:rRNA from 1 species
ACCAGACUCCUACGGGAGGCAGCAGUGGGGGAUAUUGCACAAUGGGGGGAACCCUGAUGCAGCGACGCCGCGUGGGUGAAGAAGCGCCUCGGCGCGUAAAGCCCUGUCAGCAGGGAAGAAAAUGACGGUACCUGAAGAAGAAGCCCCGGCUAACUACGUGCCAGCAGCCGCGGUAAUACGUAGGGGGCAAGCGUUAUCCGGAUUUACUGGGUGUAAAGGGGGCGCAGACGGCGAUGCAAGCCAGGAGUGAAAGCCCGGGGCCCAACCCCGGGACUGCUCUUGGAACUGCGUGGCUGGAGUGCAGGAGGGGCAGGCGGAAUUCCUGGUGUAGCGGUGAAAUGCGUAGAUAUCAGGAGGAACACCGGUGGCGAAGGCGGCCUGCUGGACUGCAACUGACGUUGAGGCCCGAAAGCGUGGGGAGCAAACAGGAUUAGAUCCCCCGGUA